rnacentral:hammerhead_ribozyme from 1 species
AUCCAGAUGACGCGUCCAAAAUAGGAUCAAACGUGAGUCCUGGAU